UACGGAGGGGGCGAGCGUUAUUCGGAAUUAUUGGGCGUAAAGGGCGCGUAGGCGGCUCGAUAAGUCAAAGGUGAAAUCCCUCGGCUCAACUGAGGAACUGCCUUUGAAACUGUCGAGCUCGAGUCCGGGAGGGGGUAGCGGAAUUCCCGGUGUAGCGGUGAAAUGCGCAGAGAUCGGGAGGAACACCCGUAGCGAAGGCGGCACUCUGGGCCGGUACUGACGCUGAGGAGCGAAAGCGUGGGGAGCAAACAGG
rnacentral:rRNA from 1 species